rnacentral:lncRNA from 1 species
AAGCAUAAUGGAGAGGUGCACCCAGUGUUUGACGGACGCUUUUCGACAGUGGGGACGAUGAAUUGAUAAGAAAGAACUUGGUGUAUGAUUGGCAACGAAACGGUAUUGGAAAAUUCAGAAUAAAAUUGAUGAAUUAGAUUUGAGAAGAAGCUAUCAGAGUUGAUGAAAGAAUAGAGAAGAUAUAGUAAGAUGAAAAAGAUAAAUAAUGGAGAAGAUGAUGAAGACUUCUCUUUCUUAUUCUUAUGUGUCUAAUUAAAAAGGGUCAAAUAGUCAGUUUAU